GGUCAAGUUAUUAAGGGUGCAGGGCGGAUGCCUUGGCACUAGGAGCCGAUGAAAGACGUGAUAAGCUGCGAUAAGCUUCGGGGAGUGGCACAUACACUUUGAUCCGGAGAUUUCUGAAUGAGGAAACUCACUUGGAGUAAUGUCCAAGUAUCCUUAGGUGAAUACAUAGCCUAAGGAGGGGAACUCAGGGAACUGAAACAUCUAAGUACCUGAAGGAAGAGAAAGAAAUUCGAUUCCGCUAGUAGCGGCGAGCGAACGCGGAAGAGCCCAAACCAAGUUAGUUUACUAAUUUGGGGUUGCGGACAUAUCUUAAGGAGUAGUUAUUGCGAGUGGAAGAGUUCUGGAAAGUUCUACCACAGAGGGUAAUAGUCCCGUACACAAAGCCAAGAAGACUCUUGAUAUGAUCCAGAGUACCACGAGACACGUGAAACCUUGUGGGAAGCAGGGGGGACCACCCCCCAAGGCUAAAUACUACCUAGUGACCGAUAGCGUAUAGUACCGUGAGGGAAAGGUGAAAAGAACCCCGGGAGGGGAGUGAAAUAGAACCUGAAACCCUGCACUUACAAUCUGUGGGAGCGCAUUACUGGCGUGACCGCGUACUUUUUGUAGAACGGGCCAACGAGUUACGUUAUGUGGCAAGGUUAAGCACUUAAGGUGUGGAGCCGUAGCGAAAGCGAGUCUUAACUGGGCGACAUAGUCACAUGACGUAGACCCGAAACCGGGCGACCUACCCAUGAGCAGGAUGAAGCGAAAGUAAAAUUUCGUGGAGGUCCGAACCCACGUACGUUGAAAAGUGCGGGGAUGACUUGUGGGUAGCGGUGAAAUUCCAAUCGAGCUCGGAGAUAGCUGGUUCUCCUCGAAAUAGCUUUAGGGCUAGCCUUGAAUGUAGAGAUGUGGAGGUAGAGCACUGAAUGUCCUAGGGGGUAUUGCACUUACCGAAGACUAUCAAACUCCGAAUGCCAUAAUCUUUUAUUCAGGAGUCAGACUAUGGGUGAUAAGGUUCAUAGUCGAAAGGGAAAGAGCCCAGACCGUCAGCUAAGGUCCCUAAAUGUAUGUUAAGUGGUAAAGGAUGUGGGAUUGCAUAGACAACCAGGAUGUUGGCUUAGAAGCAGCCAUUCAUUUAAAGAG
rnacentral:rRNA from 1 species